rnacentral:lncRNA from 1 species
UAUUUCUCUCUCUCUUUUUUUUCUUACAGCUCUGACCACUCCAUUGUUAUGGCGAGGUUGCAAUAAAUCACCAAGUUGAUCUUAAAGCAGGAGAUGGAAAAUUUAUUCACCAACUGGUGGUUUGGAUCCAGCAGCUGGUGGGCCAAGGAGCAGGCUGCAAAACUACAUCCUUUGACCCCCUCUAGACGUUAGAGUAUACUUUUUAUACCAUAAGUAAAUCAUGUCAGUGCAUUAAUCAUAAGUGGCUGUUGUUAGGAUUUAAAACCAUAAACAAACAUCAUGAGAUCUAAAAUCAUAAGCAGAAGGGGGAGUGGGUCAAAAGGACCCUAGCUGAGUACAAGUUAAAGAAUGGUUACUAACAUCUAGACAAUCAUUCUCUGACAGAGUACAUUGUCCAAGAAAAAUGGGAACCAAAAAGAGAACAAUUUUACAUUGUAUAAGAAUUGCCAUUUUGUGUUGCCAAACACGCUAUGCUAAGCAACUGUUGAUGAGUUCGGAGGUGGGGUGUCCCCAUAGAAGCAUUUCUUACAUGACAUGGAGUCUCAGGGUAAAACGGAGUUUGUUUGGUCAUUGCCCAUAUAGCCUGGCCCAUAACAAUAUGAACUUAAUUAUUAUUGUUUUUGAAAAUCAUUAAUGUAUUUUAAUUUAUGCAUCUUUAGUCCAAACAGACAAGCAUCUCAAAUUCACAAUUAUUUUUUCCAUGGGGAGUUUUUGUUUGUUCUGAUUUUUUAAAUUAAAUUUAUAUUUAACAGAUACAUAAAAAUUGUAUAGAUUAUUGGGUAACAUGAUGUUUCAUUACAUAAUAAAGUAUUUAAAUUUUGUUAAAUAUAUUGAUCUCAAAUAUUCAAAAUAUUAACAUAAUGUUAUUUCCAAACUUUUUAAUUAUUAUUAUUAUUUAUGUUUUCUCUUUCUCUACCACUAGAGGGAAGUCACUAAGGCCAUGCCAUCUUUUCCCUAGUGGAUAUCAGCUCCUAUGAUAGUGUCUAGAACAUGAUAUGAACUGUCACAUUAUUUUUAAUGAAUUGCAUAUUUAAAGGAUACUGUGAUUCAUAAAUAAAUAAAUGGAUACAAAAUGUCUUCUGUAAUAUGAUCAUCUUCAGGUGUUCAUCGUUUGUGAAGUUAAGUCAAGUCACCUAACCUCAUUCACCAUAAUUUUGUUUUUGCC